CUGACAAGUUGUUCAAUAGAAAAUUUGAAAGAGGCACCCGAACCAAUGGAAAGAGAUUUCAUGUCCCAAAUCAUCAGAUACUUGUUGGAUUCUUUUGAUUACACAAUUGGCUCAAAGUAUUUGUUGAAGUCAACCUACAUCUAGAUUUGGAGGUGUGGAGAAAGCAUGUGCUGCUCUCCAUAAGUAACCAAUUUGCCACACUGGUAGAUGUCUGGCAUGUACAUGAGCUGCCUUGUACAUGCAUGUGUUGACCAAAACCUAUAGUACCAAAAGGCAAGAAAGAAACAAGAUAAAGAUCUUUUGCUUUUUCUACUUUUACCUUUUUUCAAAUUGUUGUAUUGAAACAUGAAUCUAUUACUCAUGAAACGAUUUGAAUAUUAAGGUUUCCUUGUAUGUAGCUUUUAAUGGAUAAUUUUAACCAGUCGAUAUUUCAAUGGUCUUUUCUUGUCUGUAUCCUUUUAAAUCGUUCACUCUCUUACUCAAUUUGUCCCACAUUCUGAUUUUGCAGAGAGGAAAUGAUGUUCUGCAUUCACCAGUGACUAUGCAUAUUUAGUUGUGGAGAUUGAAGGUGCUAAAUUGUUUAUUGAUAAUUAUAUUAAUUGACAGGUAGAGAUUUCUGAACUAAACAAGGAACUG